AACGAACGCUGGCGGCAUGCCUAACACAUGCAAGUCGAACGAAGUCUUCGGACUUAGUGGCGCACGGGUGCGUAACGCGUGGGAAUCUGCCCUUGGGUACGGAAUAACUCAGAGAAAUUUGUGCUAAUACCGUAUAAUGACUUCGGUCCAAAGAUUUAUCGCCCAAGGAUGAGCCCGCGUAAGAUUAGCUAGUUGGUGGGGUAAAGGCCCACCAAGGCGACGAUCAUUAGCUGGUCUGAGAGGAUGAUCAGCCACACUGGGACUGAGACACGGCCCAGACUCCUACGGGAGGCAGCAGUGGGGAAUAUUGGACAAUGGGCGAAAGCCUGAUCCAGCAAUGCCGCGUGAGUGAUGAAGGCCUUAGGGUUGUAAAGCUCUUUUACCCGGGAUGAUAAUGACAGUACCGGGAGAAUAAGCUCCGGCUAACUCCGUGCCAGCCGCCGCCGUAACAC
rnacentral:rRNA from 1 species